AAGGACGGUCUGCGGGGAGCUGGCACCUGUUUCUGUGAAUAAAGUUUUACCAGAACAGAGUCACAUCCACGGGUGCAUUUGGUGGUGCUCCCACCACUGCAGUAGAGCUGAGUCCUUGCAACACAGACCAUCUGGCAAGCCAAGCCUACAACCUCCAUUACUCAGGCCUUUCCAGAACUGUCUGCCAGAGCAAGACCAUCGAGCCAGGACUUGCCAAGGAAGUGGGUAAGAGUGACCUGCCACCUCCAGCCGAUUGUCAGAUGCGUAGUAGAGGCCGGAGGCUGGGGUGGGCCACAAGUGCCAGCACCUGGGAAGACCGUCCCGGGGACUGAGGGGCUGCAGAGCUGUCCCCUGGAGCCUGUGGGGCUUGAGGAACAAGGCCUGAACAAGCUGAAGGAAAGAGGUCGGAUGUGGUUCCAGGACACAGCUGUGCUGAGACAGGGCUGGGGCCCAGUGACAGAGGGCAACUGGCCUCACAGAGCCCAUGUGGACCAGCAGAGAAAGAAGGAAGAAUGCUGUGAUCCUCGCGGGGGAAAAAGGAGUCAGUGUCAGAGCAGGGAGAAAUGGUGGCCAGCGGGGGGACAUCACGGGGCAGUUCACAGCCAACACAGAGAAUCAAACUCAUCCGUCGAUUAGAUGUUGCUGAGUUCCUUGAAAUGAAAUCCAAUCAGCACCAAUAUGCACAUUUUAUGCAUGUAUUUUCAUGGCAUCGACCUAAGACCCCAACAUGCUUCCCCUGUGACUCAGGGAGACGUCUGCACAGUAGCCUUCCGCCUGACCUCCCCAUGGAAGCACACUCAGUGGGCUCACUGCAACAUGAUUUUGUUCAAGCAACAUUUUCUUCCUGUGGACUGUGGACUCUAUCACUGGCUGUUCUAAACACAGUAAAACUAGCCACCCAUGAAAUUCACCUGCGUGAACGUGCUCGUUAUGGAGACAUUAAAAUAAAGGCAGCGUCUGCUGGAAUUUCAGUGAUAUCAACACUGUGUAUAUUAUAAGGAAAUACGCCUUGUCGAAAGAACAAGUAUUAGCUGAAAGUAAAGCCCAAUUCGAAUGCAAAGCUGAGACAGGCGCUAAACGUAAGCUGAACUUGAUUUUCUCUGGGUCUGUUCAUUUUCAAGUGAUGGAAGCCAAAUUGCAAAUUCAUUUGUUCUUUGUGAAUUCAUAUUCUGUCCUUUAAUUGCCUAUUAAUAUGUUUCCGGGAUGAGUCACAGUGUUUGGGGGUCCCUGAGACAGCCCCAGUCUGUCUGCACUGCCCUGGGCCGAGGUGAGGAGCGGACACCUUGGCCCCUUCCAUUUCAUACUGCGAAUGGGUAACCUUUGCACUGUGAUACACGGAAAUAAAAAGAUGGCUGUUGACAGUG